rnacentral:tRNA from 1 species
GUAAAUAUAGUUUAACUAAAACACUAGAUUGUGAAUCUAGCAACAGAAGAAUAGAAACCUCUUAUUUACC